AGGAGAACACAGGGCUUGUGGGUAAUUACGGCGGAGUGGUGGGAGAGGGAGCAUUUGGGAAAGGCUUGGGGGCCAGAUGUUUGAGGAAUGUUCUGGCUGCUGCAGUGUGCAGAGGUGGGUGGAUGGAUGGAUGGGAGGGUGGAGAAGGGGAGAAGACCAGUUGAAUUACACAGCCUGCAGAUCGUUAAAAAGCUGUCAGGCCUCCAGAGCUCUACUGUGUAUUUCACAUCAUCUCAACGAGCAGCAACAGCCUCACCUUUAUGCCUGACAGCGGUGGAAACCGACCGCUACGCCGCAGCAGCCAGGGCUCAGCGAUCAGUAAAGAGCCACAAGAGGGUGGGCAAUUACUCCUUCAGGCUACCCACAAUGCACCUGGAGAGCUCAACCUGCGUCACAGACGGUCCCUCUGCACACAUACAAACAUAAGGAAAAUAAAAAACACGCCUCCCAUCUGCUUCUCAUCAACCUCAUCCAUCUCAUCUUUACCCCCCACCCCUGUCACACAGACUGCUUCUCUCACUGUCUCUGUUUCAUGCUCUGUCUCAGCAACUCGUCCAACCUUCCACCACCGCAGCCUCUGGAGCUGUGGCAUGGAUAAAUAGGCCACAACAGCUGGGUCUGACUCCUGACCAGGACCACCCCUCCAGACCUGACCACAACCACUAUCACCCCCUCCUCCUGCAUGGGCCGGGGCCCAUUUGUUUUAAAGACAGAACAGUUUUCCCAUUACAGGCUUUGUUUAUGUAAUGAUUUAUUUGGGUGUGUAUAGUUUUGCUAUCCAUUAAAAUUCAUUACCUGAAUUUUUGAUAAAUGAGUGUGCUUAGCAGGAGGUUGAAAACGGUUUGUUUACAGUUGCAUUUGUAGAUGGAAAAAAACGGGUUUUGAGUUAUGACAACUCUACAGAAAUUUGUUUUCCAUGUUCCUUCUGGAGCACUUCAGAACCAUACACAAAUAUACCUAAAAUGUACACGGUUCAAAUAAAUUCCUGAUUGCGCCUUUAA